rnacentral:rRNA from 1 species
GACGAACGCUGGCGGCGUGCUUAACACAUGCAAGUCGAACGGAAAGGCCCCUUUGGGGGUACUCGAGUGGCGAACGGGUGAGUAACACGUGAGUAACCUGCCCUUGACUUCGGGAUAACUUCAGGAAACUGGGGCUAAUACCGGAUAGGAAUCCUUGCUGCAUGGUGGGGGUUGGAAAGCUUCGGCGGUUUUGGAUGGACUCGCGGCUUAUCAGCUUGUUGGUGGGGUAGUGGCUUACCAAGGCUUUGACGGGUAGCCGGCCUGAGAGGGCGACCGGCCACAUUGGGACUGAGAUACGGCCCAGACUCCUACGGGAGGCAGCAGUGGGGAAUAUUGCACAAUGGGCGGAAGCCUGAUGCAGCGACGCCGCGUGCGGGAGGACGGCCUUCGGGUUGUAAACCGCUUUCAGCAGGGGCGAAGCUUGUGGUGACGGUACCUGCAGAAGAAGCACCGGCUAACUACGUG